rnacentral:rRNA from 1 species
GGGAUUAGAUACCCCACUAUGCACAGCCCUAAACUUUGAUAGAAACAUUACAUCCACUAUCCGCCAGGGUACUACGAGCUCUAGCUUAAAAUCCAAAGGACUUGGCGGUGCUUUAGACCCACCUAGAGGAGCCUGUUCUAGAACCGACAACCCCCGUUCAACCUCACCCUCCCUUGUCCAUUCCGCCUAUAUACCGCCGUCGUCAGCUUACCCCAUGAAGGAUUCAUAGUAAGCAAAACCAGUAUAACUUAAAACGCCAGGUCGAGGUGUAGCGCAUGAGAGGGGAAGAAAUGGGCUACAUUCCCUAAACCAGGGUAUACGGAAAAUACAAUGAAAUACGUAUUAGAAGGAGGAUUUAGCAGUAAGCAGAAAACAGAGUGUUCUACUGAAACUGGCCCUGAAGCGCGCACACACCGCCCGUCACCCCUUAA